rnacentral:rRNA from 1 species
AGCGAACGCUGGCGGCAGGCCUAACACAUGCAAGUCGAACGAACCCUUCGGGGUUAGUGGCGGACGGGUGAGUAACACGUGGGAACGUGCCUUUAGGUUCGGAAUAGCUCCUGGAAACGGGUGGUAAUGCCGAAUGUGCCCUUCGGGGAAAGAUUUAUCGCCUUUAGAGCGGCCCGCGUCUGAUUAGCUUGUUGGUGAGG